rnacentral:rRNA from 1 species
UACGUAGGGGGCAAGCGUUGUCCGGAUUUAUUGGGCGUAAGAGCGUGUAGGCGGCCAUGUUAGGUCCGUUGUGAAAACUCGAGGCUCAACCCGUCGAGACGCCGAUGGAAACCAUGUGGCUAGAGUCCGGAAGAGGAGAGUGGAAUUCCGUGGUGUAGCGGUGAAAUGCGCAGAUAUCAGGAAGAACACCCGUGGCUAAGGCGGCUCUCUAGUACGGUACUGACGCUGAGACGCGAAAGCGUGGGGAGCGAACAGG